GGUAUAGGUUUUCGGACCUAGAGACCGGCGCACGGGUGCGUAACGCGUAUGCAAUCUACCUUUUACAGAGGGAUAGCCCAGAGAAAUUUGGAUUAAUACCUCAUAGUAUUAUUGAAUGGCAUCAUUUAAUAAUUAAAGUCACAACGGUAAAAGAUGAGCAUGCGUCCCAUUAGCUUGUUGGUAAGGUAACGGCUUACCAAGGCAACGAUGGGUAGGGGUCCUGAGAGGGAGAUCCCCCACACUGGUACUGAGACACGGACCAGACUCCUACGGGAGGCAGCAGUGAGGAAUAUUGGUCAAUGGGCGCAAGCCUGAACCAGCCAUGCCGCGUGCAGGAUGAAGCAUCUAUGGUGUGUAAACUGCUUUUGUACGAGAAGAAACACUCCUACGUGUAGGAGCUUGACGGUAUCGUAAGAAUAAGGACCGGCUAACUCCGUGCCAGCAGCCGCGGUAAUACGGAGGGUCCAAGCGUUAUCCGGAAUCAUUGGGUUUAAAGGGUCCGUAGGCGGUUUUGUAAGUCAGUGGUGAAAGCCCAUCGCUCAACGGUGGAACGGCCAUUGAUACUGCAAGACUUGAAUUAUUAGGAAGUAACUAGAAUAUGUAGUGUAGCGGUGAAAUGCUUAGAGAUUACAUGGAAUACCAAUUGCGAAGGCAGGUUACUACUAAUGGAUUGACGCUGAUGGA
rnacentral:rRNA from 1 species